GUGCCAGCACUGGAGACCAAAGUUCCUUUUAGCCACAGGACAGACCAAUGCAGGGCAAGCACCCCACUGCUCUGCCCCACCAAUGUGGGUCAGCCCUGCCCUGUAGGGGUCCAGUUCUGGGCGAGAGGGGAGUUUAGUCUCCAAACAUCAUUCUCUCCUUGCU
rnacentral:sRNA from 1 species